rnacentral:rRNA from 1 species
GACGAACGCUGGCGGCGUGCUUAACACAUGCAAGUCGAACGGAAAGGCCCUGCUUUUGUGGGGUGCUCGAGUGGCGAACGGGUGAGUAACACGUGAGUAACCUGCCCUUGACUUUGGGAUAACUUCAGGAAGCUGGGGCUAAUACCGGAUAGGAGCUCCUGCUGCAUGGUGGGGGUUGGAAAGUUUCGGCGGUUGGGGAUGGACUCGCGGCUUAUCAGCUCGUUGGUGGGGUAGUGGCUUACCAAGGCUUUGACGGGUAGCCGGCCUGAGAGGGUGACCGGCCACAUUGGGACUGAGAUACGGCCCAGACUCCUACGGGAGGCAGCAGUGGGGAAUAUUGCACAAUGGGCGGAAGCCUGAUGCAGCAACGCCGCGUGCGGGAUGACGGCCUUCGGGUUGUAAACCGCUUUCACCUGUGACGAAGCGUGAGUGACGGUAAUGGGUAAAGAAGCACCGGCUAACUACGUG